AGCUUUUGCCGUCUUUG
rnacentral:sRNA from 1 species